AGAAUCUUCUAGGCCAUGAUCAUUGGUGCCUCUGUGGACAGCCUCUGUCUGCAGAUCAGAGCACCAUUGCCAGUUGCCAAGAGGAACUUUCUCUGAGGCUUCUGGAAGAGGAAUCCAUGCUGCUGUGGCUUUUGCUGCUGGUUCUAGGUCUCCCGGGGCCCAGGCUGCCAUGGGGGAAGUGGUGGAGCUUCACUGUGAGGCCCAGAGGGGCUCUCCCCCAAGCCUGUACCAGUUCUAUCAUGAGGAUGUCACCCUGCGGAGCAGCUCAGCAUCCUCUGGAGAAGGAACAUCCCACAACCUCUCUGCAGAACAUUCUGGAAAAUCCUGUGUCAGGCCAACAAUAGCCUAGGAGCCCAGCCCAGUGAGGCAGUGCUUUUCAAUGUCAUUCAGCUUGAGCCUUGGCUAUGGGCUCUCUUUCAAAAGAUAAACUCCAAGCAUGCCAGUGUAUGAGGAAGAGUAUUUCGUGAAGACUGGAUUUCCUCAGUGACUUACAGUGGAAACAGAGACAGGAGGUCAUGAAAAUUAGUUGCUAGCUUCCCACUAGCCUGAGAGGAGUGGGCUAUACUCCAGGGCAUUGGACAAAUAACUGAACAUCACUUAACCAUUUCAAACUAAGGCAAAAUGCACUGGAACGCCUGCCCGAUUCCGCACUUCACACCCCUUCCUCUGGAGUAUCUUCAGGAUUCCAGCCUGAGUCCCUGACCUCUGAGCCUCACCCACAGAACACUCUCCUCAGAGGUCCCCUAGGACAAAGGCCAUGCCACCUUCCGGUUGCGGUGACUGGGGGACGCUGCUUGGUUUCCUGGCAACUACUGCUCUGUUUUUUUACCUGUGGCUCCAGAGGAAGUCAGGAUUCCUCUGCUGUCUAUUUAGAGGUGAAGAAAGAACAGCCCACAGCAGCCUCAGCUGAGCAGCAGUAAAAGGAACCUGUAGUUGGAGCUCUUCUUAAGAAGUCUGAAAAUCAGGAGUUCCCAUCGUGGCACGCGGAAACAAAUCCGACUAGGAACCAUGAGGUUGAGGGUUCGAUCCCUGGCCUUGCUCAGGGGGUUGGGGAUCCGGCGUUGCUGUGAGCUGUGGUGUAGGUCACAGACAUGGCUUGGAUCUGGCAUUGCUGUGGCUGUGGGGUAGGCUGACAGUUGUAGCUCCGAUUAGACCUCUAGCCUGGGACCCUGCAUAUGCUGCAGGUGCGGCCCUAAAAAGACAAAAAAAAAAAAGUCUGAAAAUCAGAUAAUAACAGAUCUUCAGACUUGGUAAUGGUAUUUAUUCUGGAGCUGAAUCUCAGCUUCUGCUUUCAAAUGGUGCAUGUGCUCCCCAAUUAACCACAGUAUCUGCCGCUUGGUAUUGUUUCCUUGAAUCUGAGCCAAGUGACAGCUGCCAUUUAGUCCCUCAAACAUCCAAUUAUUUACUCACAAUAGACUUAAGAAAAGAGUGCCUCUUUUACCCAUGUCUCUGGCAAAAGUAGGAAAA
rnacentral:lncRNA from 1 species